rnacentral:lncRNA from 1 species
UGGGGGGCUCUGGGGGUGCCAGGGACCAGGGGUCCCGGAGAAUUUCAGGGAUGAGGGGUCUGGGGGGGGGGUGCCUGGGGGCUGAUGGCCUCUCCCCGCAGUGCUCCUCGCUGAUGCUGAUCGAGAGCACGCGGGACUCGCUCUGCUUCAGCCUGGCCCACUACAAGCACGGCAAGCAGCAGCACAACCUGCAGGUAGGGGGGACACGGGGUGGGGGGGCACCCUAAGGACCCCCCCUGCCCAGCCUCACCACCCUCCCUGUGUCCCCCCUCACUCCCAACCCCAGGCCAAGAGCGUGGAGGAGAAGCGCGUGUGGACCCACCACAUCAAGCGGCUGAUCCUGGAGAACCACCACGCCAUCAUCCCCCAAAAGGCCAAGGAAGCCAUCCUGGAGAUGGACUUGUUCUACCCCCCUCGCCUGCCCCACUGCAGCCCCGAGCGCCUGAAGAAGAGCUGGUCCUGCCAACCCCUGGGUGACAACGCCGCCGAGCCACGCCAGUGCCGCCGGCAGUCCGAGCCCUUCCAGCCCCGGGACCGCGCCGAGACGCUGCCGGACCGGCUGCACGGGCACACGGGGCGCAGGCAGUCGGGUGAGGAUGCUCGGCGGGGAGCGGGGGGACCCCAGAUUGGGGAGGAGGAGGAGGAGGAGGAGGAGGGAGGGGGGGGUGUUGGUGCUGGGGGAUGCUGGUGGGGUUGGGGGAGGUGGGGACGAUGCCACCGUCGCCCGAUUGGGAUGCCCGCCUUCUCCCCCCGCAGAGCCCGCCAAGCAGAUCCUGCGG